rnacentral:rRNA from 1 species
UACGGAGGGUGCAAGCGUUAUCCGGAUUCACUGGGCUUAAAGGGUGCGUAGGUGGGCAAGUAAGUCAGUGGUGAAAUCUCCGGGCUUAACUCGGAAACUGCCAUUGAUACUAUUUGUCUUGAAUACUGUGGAGGUCAGCGGAAUAUGUCAUGUAGCGGUGAAAUGCUUAGAUAUGACGUAGAACACCAAUUGCGAAGGCAGCUGGCUACACAAAUAUUGACACUGAGGCACGAAAGCGUGGGGAUCAAACAGG